rnacentral:rRNA from 1 species
GACGAACGCUGGCGGCGUGCUUAACACAUGCAAGUCGAACGGAGAGGCCCUGCUUUUGUGGGGUGCUCGAGUGGCGAACGGGUGAGUAACACGUGAGUAACCUGCCCUUGACUUUGGGAUAACUUCAGGAAACUGGGGCUAAUACCGGAUAGGAGCUCCUGCUGCAUGGUGGGGGUUGGAAAGUUUCGGCGGUUGGGGAUGGACUCGCGGCUUAUCAGCUUGUUGGUGGGGUAGUGGCUUACCAAGGCUUUGACGGGUAGCCGGCCUGAGAGGGUGACCGGCCACAUUGGGACUGAGAUACGGCCCAGACUCCUACGGGAGGCAGCAGUGGGGAAUAUUGCACAAUGGGCGGAAGACUGAUGCAGCAACGCCGCGUGCGGGAUAACGGCCUUCGGGUUGUAAACCGCUUUCGCCUGUGACGAAGCGUGAGUGACGGUAAUGGGUAAAGAAGCACCGGCUAACUACGUG